CAACACUCAAACUCCCAACUGCUUUGAUCAAUUCUUUUGUUCUUUUGUUCUUUCUUCAUUCUUUCUUUUACUGAGAUCUUGUUGCUGGGUUCUUCUGCAGGGACACUAUUGCAGGUUCUGCAGUAGAUCAACUCGAGCAAGUUGUGGGAUACGUAAGUCUGGGGUAGCUUUCGGCAUGAUGACCUAGAUCCUUUUUCGACAAGUCCACAAUGUCAUCCUGCAAUCCCUAAAACCGGAGCUCUUUGUCAUGGUAACAAGCUGAAAUCUGUUGCACCAAAAGGCGUUUGAUCGAAGGAGAUAGCCACUUUGAAAUGGAAGGCCUUGAUUAUGAUGCUGAUGUUGAAAUGAAUCCUUGAAUGUAUUGCCUCAUUGAAGGUCAAGCAACCUGUACUUAGACUGGUUGGUUGAAUUGCUGUGAAAUUUGUCUUCCAUUGGAUUUGUUGGUUUAUAUAUAUAUAUAUAUAUUGCAACUUGCAGG